UCGGGAAUUUUGGGCAAUGGGCGAAAGCCUGACCCAGCAACGCCGCGUGAGGGAUGAAGUAUUUCGGUAUGUAAGCCUCGCAAGAAUGGGAAGAAUAAAUGACGGUACCAUUUAUAAGCUCCGGCUAACUACGUGCCAGCAGCCGCGGUAAUACGUAGGGAGCAAGCGUUGUUCGGAUUUACUGGGCGUAAAGGGCGCGUAGGCGGCGCGGUAAGUCACUUGUGAAAUCUCUGAGCUUAACUCAGAACGGCCAAGUGAUACUGCUGUGCUACAGUGCGGAAGAGGCAACCGGAAUACUUGGUGUAGCGGUGAAAUGCGUAGAUAUCAAGAGGAACACCUGAGGCGAAGGCGGGUUGCUGGGCCGACGCUGACGCUGAUGCGCGAAAGCCAGGGGAGCAAACG
rnacentral:rRNA from 1 species